UUGCUGUCACUUAUAGAUGGACCCGCGCCGUAUUAGCUAGUUGGUGGGGUAACGGCCUACCAAGGCGACGAUACGUAGCCGACCUGAGAGGGUGAUCGGCCACACUGGAACUGAGACACGGUCCAGACUCCUACGGGAGGCAGCAGUAGGGAAUCUUCCGCAAUGGGCGAAAGCCUGACGGAGCAACGCCGCGUGAGUGAUGAAGGUCUUCG
rnacentral:rRNA from 1 species